rnacentral:pre_miRNA from 1 species
UGUCUGGGAGCAGCCAAGGACAAGUUACCUCUUGUCUUCUAUCCUUGGCCUUCCUAGGUGU